rnacentral:lncRNA from 1 species
UCCGAUCCCCACGCGAUACUCACGCUUAUGCACCACCCCGGGACACCCUCGUUCUGCUCUUCCGAUUCCCUGCCUCGCCUCGCGGGACAGAGCUCGAUAUCGAGCGUAGCAACCCCGGUGAGCUCCGCCAUCCUAAGCAGCGCCGACGUGAAAUUCUCCCGCCUCGGUAAGCCUUGUUCCUCGCCGAGACUUUCUAUGUAUUCGCAGAGACCUCAUGCACCUAUUCCCCCUUUGGUUUUGCCCAGGACCGCACCAAAUCGACCUCCCCAGCAAAACAAAUCUCGCCGGAGCAUACCAUCACCGUUGCAUGUUCAUCCGCCCACCAUCGUCGCUACAGGAUGCACCGGAACUCCCCGAGGACACCAAAGGCCUCCCCAUGAACCUCCUAGUCUUCCAGCAUCUUCACCGAUCUCCUACGGCCAUCGGGAGCAACGCCGUCGCCGAUCAGGGCCAUCGCCGUCUCCUCUAUUCCAGUGAGGAAUACCCCACUGAUCCAAACCCUAGAUUCAAAAGAACAUCAACCGUCCAUUGCGACUUAAUCCAACGACUCAGAAUGCUUCUUCACUGAACCAAUAUCCCCCACUUAGAGCAUGCCACACGGCGCGAUAAUAGCAGCCACAAUAGUAGCUCAAUUCGCUGCCAUGGCAGCAAUUUCAGCAAAUCAAAAAUGUUGCCACGGUAGCAGUUUUUCAUAGAUUCACAUCAAAUUUCAUUAUGCUAUAUAUUGAGAUCCACACGUCCGAAUGCACUAAUUAUUUUUCCUAUGUGUUACUAUUGAUCAUGACAAUCCAAUAGUAUCAUUAGUUUCAACUUUUAAACUCUUCAAAUUUGAAUCUAUAACUUUAUUUGAUCGUAUCGGGUGAACCAUGACACCUAUUCAAUUGAUUCUUUUUGCAUAUAAAUACUUGCAGAUCAUAUUCUGUAUACUCAAAAUUCAAAUAUUUUUGAUUUGUCUGGAAUUCAAAUUCAUUUCAAACUUCAUUCGCUAUAACUUGUCUUGUAGUAUUUCUUUUCAAUUAAUUCUUUCCCCAAAUGUACUCGUAUGUCUUAUGCAACCUGUUACACCACUUCUAUGUUGUUUUCCCAUCACUUUGACUCCGAUUCAUAUUAUAUCAAAUAUAAGAGUAUAAAGCAAUAUCCGUUGUUCAUUGACUCUUUUGAGUUCAUUUCUUUACCUGUCACCUUAUCUUACCGCUAGACCCUAUAUUAUACUUUAAAUCUAUAUUAUAUGUCAAGCCUAUAUAUAUUGAUGUUUCCCAACCUUGCCAUAUUUGUUUUGUUGUUCUUUGGUUCUUAUAUAUGGCAUGGUUAUCGAUUUGAGUUCUUUCGUUUAUGAUAGAUUGCUCGGAGCGUGACGAGUAGAAUUAUCAGGAAUUGUGAGUACGACGAUCUUCAUCAAACUUACAGGCAAGUUACACCUUGAUCAUCCUUUAUCCUAUUUUUAUGCAUGUAGUUCUAUAUCACAAUACCAUAUUAUGCAUGUGUAGGAAUAUUUGUGGUCGCAUAUUAUUGCUACCGAGUUUCAGCUUAGUAUGGCCUUAUUGUAGACCGUGGUAGUGUAUUCUUGCUAUGCUAUGUAGACGGGGACUGGUUCGUGUAUUCAUCGAGAUUAUGUGAGGAUUAUAUAUAUAUAUAUAUAUAUAUAUAUAUAACUAAAUGGGUAGUAAUUAAGGAUUUAAUUCACCUUUGGGCGGAAGUGGUAUUGCUUGGUGUUGAGGGAAGGCAUCAUGGCGUCUUGCACCAUUUCUAAGGCCAUGCGCCCAUAAGAGUGCACCCUAAGUGGAAUGUCGCCCAGGUUCAAAAGAUCAAACAGACUUAGUGAGUAGCAGCUUCCAUGUGCGGCCACUAGCUAUAUGGGCUCUGGCUCAAUUGAUGAGUUGUUGGAACCCUUGCCUAGACAAUGUCGACAGAUGUAGCUUAUGUAGGUGGAAUGUGGCCGUCGGGUGUUUAAGGGAACCUCUUCUGAAAGACUUCGUCUCAAUCUUCGGAUUGGGUCCAGUGGGUAAAGCGUACUAAAAUCUGAAGAGUAUUAAAACUAAUCAUGAUAGCCGUGCCCCCGGUUAUGGGCUAAUUUUGAGCCACUAUGCCAUUACAGUUGUUGGAUGAUCUUGACAGAUGAUACCUUAAUAAAAAUUGAGUGGAAAACUUAAUAAUUGGGAUAGGUUGGUAUUGGAUUUCCCAAUUCAAUCAUAUGUAUUUAAUUGUAGCAAGACAAAAUAAAAUUUGACUAUUAUAUUAUGUAGUUAUCAGGGAAAAAUUAGCUUUCUACAAAACAACCACUACAUUAUCCUCUUGAUAUACCUUGCAAAUAGAGUUAGGUCUGUUAUAUAAUUUCCUAUGUGACUUGCCAAUACAUUCAAAGUAUUAACCCUUCGUGGCUGCAAUGUUUCAUAUUGCAGAUUUUAUACGACGAGUGAGUGAUAUGAUGUCGGGUUACCAUGUCCAUACUCGACAUUUGCCUGUGGUGUUGAUGGACUUCAUGGUGAUUUUAUUUGCAUUUUUGCUGCAUUUUGUGUGUAUGCUAGCUUGUGCUAUGCAGGUAUGUAUUAUAUUGAAUUCUGGAUCUACGAUGUAAUAUUAUGACAUGUGGUUUAUUCUUGAUAUUACAUCUUGUACUGUGUGUGCUAGCUAUUGAUCUAGGGACUAGCACAGUGAGCACAAAGACAUCGAAUCUUAUCAG